rnacentral:rRNA from 1 species
GGACUGCAUGGAAGUGAGAAUGCUGGCAUGAGUAACGAGAGAGGGGCGAGAAACCCCUCCGCCGUAAGCCUAAGGGUUCCUGGGCAAGGCUAAUCCCCCCAGGGUCAGUCGGGAGCUAAGGCGAGGCCGACAGGCGUAGCCGAUGCACAACAGGCGGACAUUCCUGUACCACCGCGGAGCGUUACUACGACGGGGUGACGGAGAAGGGUAGCCGGGCGGGGUUCUGGACGUCCCCGUGAAAGCGCGUAGGCCGCAGGGCAGGCAAAUCCGCCCUGCAGCAGGCCGAGACGUUAGACGAAGCUUCAUGUGAAGCCGGCGAGCCCAUGCUUCCGAGAAAAACCUCUAAGGAGCGAGGCGGUGCCCGUACCAAAACCGACACAGGUAGGCGGGUAGAGCAUACCAAGGCGAUCGGGAGAACCAUGGUUAAGGAACUCGGCAUACUGACUCCGUAACUUCGGGAGAAGGAGUGCCCCCGCCUGUGAGGUCCCACGCGGACGGAGCGGGAGGGGGUCGCAGCGAAACGGCCCAAGCGACUGUUUACCAAAAACACAGGACUCUGCAAAGCCGCAAGGCGACGUAUAGGGUCUGACGCCUGCCCGGUGCUGGAAGGUUACGCGGAUGAGUUAGCGCAAGCGAAGCCCUGAAGCCAAGCCCCAGUAAACGGCGGCCGUAACUAUAACGGUCCUAAGGUAGCGAAAUUCCUUGUCGGGUAAGUUCCGACCUGCACGAAUGGCGUAACGACUUGGGCGCUGUCUCAACCAUGGACCCGGUGAAAUUGUAUUAUUCGUGAAGAUGCGAAUUACCUGCGGAAGGACGGAAAGACCCCGUGAACCUUUACUGCAGCUUGGCAUUGGCUGUUGGUGCGGUGCGUAGAGGAUAGGCAGGAGCCUGCGAACCGGGAACGCCAGUUCCCGGGGAGGCGCCCUUGGAAUACUGCCCUCACCGCAUCGGCAGCCUAACGCGCCGCCCUCAUCGGGGGCGCGGACCGUGCCAGGUGGGUAGUUUGACUGGGGCGGUCGCCUCCUAAACUGUAACGGAGGCGUGCGAAGGUUCGCUCAGGGCGGUUGGCAAUCGCCCGCAGAGCACAAGAGUACAAGCGAGCCUGACUGCGAGACCAACAAGUCGAGCAGAGACGAAAGUCGGUUCUAGUGAUCCGGCGGCCCAGCGUGGAAUGGCCGUCGCUCAACGGAUAAAAGGUACUCCGGGGAUAACAGGCUGAUCUUGCCCAAGAGUCCACAUCGACGGCAAGGUUUGGCACCUCGAUGUCGGCUCAUCGCAUCCUGGGGCUGUAGCAGGUCCCAAGGGUACGGCUGUUCGCCGUUUAAAGCGGUACGCGAGCUGGGUUCAGAACGUCGUGAGACAGUUCGGUCCCUAUCCUCCGUGGGCGCAAGAGAAUUGAGAGGAUCUGUCCCUAGUACGAGAGGACCGGGAUGGACGCACCUCUGGUGCCGCAGUUGUCGACCAACGGCACAGCUGCCUAGCUACGUGCGGAACGGAUAACCGCUGAAAGCAUCUAAGCGGGAAGCCGGCCUCGAGAUGAGUUCUCUCUUCGGUAAGGCCACUUGUAGACCACAAGUUCGAUAGGCCGCAGCUGCAAGCCCCGCGAGGGGCUCAGGCGAGCGGUACUAAUCGGCCGAGCUCUUCAUCUC